CCUUCCCUCUUCCUUCGUGCCUAAUACAUGCAAGUCGAGCGAACAGAUGAGGCGUUUGCUCCUCUGACGUUAGCGGCUGCCGUGUGAGUAACACGUGGAUAACCUACCUAUAAGACUGGGAUAACUUCGGGAAACCGGAGCUAAUACCGGAUAAUUUAUUGAACCGCAUGGUUCAAUAGUGAAAGACGGUUUUGCUGUCACUUAUAGAUGGAUCCUCGCCGCAUUAGCUAGUUGGGAAGGUAACGGCUUACCAACGCAACGAGGCUUAGCCCACCUGAGAGGGUGAGCGGCCACACUGGAACUUAGACACGUUCCAGGCUCCUACGGGGGGCAGCAGUAUGGAAUCUUCCGCAAUGGGGGAAAGCCUGACGGAGCAACUCCGCGUGAGUGAUGAAGGUCUUCGGAUCGUAAAACUCUGUGAUUAGGUAAGAACAAAUGUGAAAGUAACUAUGCUCGUCUUGACGGUACCUAAUCAGAAAGCCACGACUAACUACGUG
rnacentral:rRNA from 1 species